rnacentral:lncRNA from 1 species
CAGAAGCCGGCGAGAACCGCAAAGAAAAUACCGUCUUUUCCUGGAACCACCGCGGUCCGCCGCGCCGCCUAUCCGCGGCCAUUAACUACUCCCUAACCAUCAACCCACGCGACUUACAUUGAUAGAGGUCAUCGGCGCCCCCUUAUCGUGCGUCGAACCUCAAUCGCCGCCUCUAAAAAAGCGGCGAGGCCGACAAAGAUCCAGAACGUUAUUCCCUGGGAUCCUCCGCGGCGCGCCUCGUCCGGAUCUGCUACCAAGCGGUCCGAAAAUUGUAAAACGAUACUCUCUUGCUCCGUCAAACGAACUAGCAAAUGAACCUGCAGCUGCUCGCACCACCAUCGGCCGUCUGACUGUCGGCCGCACCGAACGCAUGGCAGAUAAUCGCCGCCGCAACCCACCGCUCCUCCCAGAAAAUACGCCUUAAGCC